rnacentral:lncRNA from 1 species
UGUUAAAAUAUAGCAAGCAGUAGCCAAAAAUAUUGAGCUAGUAUGAUUUCUGUCUCUGUCCAGCAAUGACAAUCUGUCCACCUCCACAGUGAAAUUCUGUAUAUUUUUAACAACUUUGCAGCUGCUGCAAUCUCUUGGUUGUUGUUUAAAUUUGCUGAUAAAGCUAUUUGAGGAGGAGGGACAGUGGUAGACUCCUGAGGAGUCUGAAGAGAAAGGCACAGGCCUCUCCCUCCUUUCACCCAUGCACUCAAUGACUUGGAUUUCUUUGUAACUUAAGCCGGUGGGACACAACCAUGUGUCUUGGUCUUGGGGCUCACACUGGUUGCUUUUUUUUUUUUUUUUUUUUUUUUUUUAAACCCUCUCUGCCCAAGAAAAUUCUGAAUUGGUUUACUAAACUGUCCUGACUCUUGUGCUGAAGUCUGAGUUUGUAAGCCCACAUCUUUGAAAAGGGGUGUCUUUAAAGAACCUUCUCCACAGUUUCCACAUCAGCUAUUCAAAGAGGAAGGAGUAUCAACAGAGUGCCAUGUCAGUCAUAUCAAAACAAAGAGAAGCAAAAGAGGGCCCCACGCCAACCAGUUGCUUUUGCAGUUGGUUCAACAACUGGAUGUUAAAUAGAAAGUGAAGUUAAAAAUGGUUGUCAGACUGGAUGAUCAAGAUGGGCCCUUCGAGUCCUGAAGCCUAUGGAGCUCUGAUCUAAAAUGACAUGAUCACACACCACUUUCCCCUCAGCGAUGCUGACUUCAGUGCACCAGGUAGAUCUGUACUGUGGCUGAAUUAGUUUGCUCUCUUUUGGAUAACUGUUCCAUUUGUUGGAGAAUUUGAGUUAUAUAUAGAGUGGGAAUGUUAAGCACUCCUUCCCCACCCUGUCCCCUCCCCCCCAAAAAAAGAAAAAAAGAAUCACUCUGGAGAAUUGUGUUCUAUCCUUGACUCUGCUACAUACUUUUUGCUUAAAAUAAAUUUGGGUGUCCACAUGUGAUUAUUCAUUUCUGAAGAUGUAAGUAGUUUAAAAAUUCAUUUAAAAGCAAAAAUAUGUGUUUUGUACACAAAUGAUGGCACAUAUUGAUAAAUUCUUUGUACAUUUUUAAAAGACUCUUUAUCCAAAUUUGCACAGAAUUUUGAAUUCAUGCAUCUGGGGAUAAGAGUACCAGCUCACUACAGUGGUACAAAGAUUGGUAAAGAGCUACAAAAACCAUACAAAUAAAAGAACUACACAAGAAAGUAAGUAAUUGUGUUUUCAGAACAGAGACCAACUGAUGUGCAGUAAAUAAGACAGUACUACACAUUCUUUCAUGAAGACAAAGCAAAAUAGGAAAUAGCUGUUCAUAACUCAACUGCAUUAGAUGAAAAAUCCUCCUAUAGAAAGUAAAUUAAGUAUAUAAGAACAGUUAAAAGCAUAUGAAAAUGGUCUUAUUGAUUUCCAUAUCUAUUCUAUUAAUGUACAAAUCCAGAUAAUGUCUUGUUUUCAGCUCAUUUAAAAUGUUACCUGAGUGCAGAUGAAUUAUAGCAGAUGGACAUCUCCACUGAUCAUUCAAAUGCCAGAGAGCUCUCUACACUCUGCUUUAAAAUCCAUACUAGCUAAUUAUAACCAGAAUAAAUCAAAAAGAAUGUCUACUGCACAAAGUAACUUGAAGCACUUUAGUAUCAAGAUGAUUUUUUUGUCUGAAAAUCAUCUCUCUUGAUUUAUCAUCUGAAGAAUGCUUAUCAAAAGGCCUGUUAGAAAACAUACCUAUAAUUUUAGUUAUAGAGCUUCUCUCUCACUCUGAGCAUUUCCCUUGAUAGCUGAACAGUGUUUUUGAAACACUGUAGUGUUAUGUCAGACCCCUUGCCUCACAUAAAUAUGAAGCAAUCCAAAGGAAAUGACUGCGGUCAUAUAGCACAUGGUCCCACAUUGAGAUCCUGAAUCAGACAUAUUACUUUUAAUACUUUUGAAUCAGAUAUGUUACAAAUAAAUAAGUGGGAAAACUACAUCCUGUAGAAUAAACUCUUAAAAUGGAAGAGUUGGGGAUACCUGCGGGGUAGUUUAGCCUUUUAGACUUUUAAACCUGCUUUGUAGAGAGAAUCUCUUUUGACUAUAAAUUCAGGUCAUGGUGUUAUCAAAGGUGGUAGAAGACUAGACAGAAGCAUCCUGUAAUCUCUUCAGAAAAUAUUUGAAAAAGGCUUACAUAUACCCCCAGCAGAAAUAUAUUUUCCUGUCCCUCUAUCAGAUUUAUGUAUUCUAGAACAAACAUUAAAGGAUUGUUCUUUGGGGACGACAGUCACUUGUAUCAGUGGCUUAACAGUCAUUGUAAUAAAGGAAUAAAAUGUUUUGUUCAGCUGGCAGGCCUAUAUUCUCUGUGAUAAAUGUGGGAUCUUCUGCAGUGGUGGGAAGGAUUUGAUUCUUACACUGAAAGAAUGCUGCUGAAAAUCCAUAGCUGUGUUUUUUUUACACUGCAGGAGUCACCAAACAAGGAUUUUGGAAGAUGCAUAUGAUUUACCAGUCUACUAUGCUAACAUCAUUUUGACAGGUGUGAUGCAUCAACACAGUAUUAUAAGCUUAAGAUAAAUUACAGCAUUCUUUUUCAUCAAGCAGCAAACUGCAGUGGAGUAUUGCACAAAGCUCAGUGUGUUCAGUCAGUAGGCAUUUGUGCCUGCAGCCUAAAAUAGAAUGUCUUUCUGUGAUGGGUUAAUCCCUCUUUGGCUCUGAUCCUGGGUAGAUUACUAGUUAUAGCAUGCCAUGAAAGACUGCUGUGUAAGGCAAGUAUUUCACUUAAGUCACUUACCACAUUCUCUGGACAACAGAAAUUUCUUGUGCAUCUGCUAGAAAUGUGGGGAUAAUUUAAUUGCCUUUGCUAAGAUUUCCAAUGUAAUUUAAUAAUCAUUUUUAUUAGAAUGUGCAUAUUGUUAGAAGUUAUCAGAACACUGUUACUCCUGGUGCAUUCUGAACAGCAGGUAGAAAAAUCAGACUUUGAUUUUGACUAGGGGUCCUAAUCAUUUCUUUUCAUAAUUUAGAGCACAAAAUGUGUUUGGUCAUUCUCUAUCACUUAUUAUUAUUAUUAUUAUUAUUAUUUUUAAUUCUGGUUGUCUAAACUGUAUGACAAGACCGCAUUCUACUUUACAUUUACCCAAAGGUCAAUAAAUAUCAGAACUUGGCAAAGAAACAAUGAAUAUUCUUCAAACAUUUCCCUGCAAGAAAAAUAGGCUCAUUUCAGCUGAGUGGAUGUCUCUAUUUGAAGGAUAUUUUUCACUGACAUUCAAUUAAUUGAAUUUUCCUGAAGUGGAUGUAUGUAGAAGCUAAGUGAUAAAUUUUAGGAAGUGUACACUUUUAUUUCCCUUAGUUUUAGUGCCAAGUAGGGCUGCAUUUAUAGUGCUUCAUUUUUAAGAUGGUCUAUACAGUGAUUUUUAUCAAAUGGUCCUAUUUGAAAUGUUCUAGCUUGGUAUCCAAAUCAUUAUCUUCAUUUGCAAGUCAGCAAAAUUCUGUGGAUUACAAACACUUAAGCUUUCAGAGCUUGACAUGUGGUCAGAGAAUGGAAAUGGCACUGUGCAAUGGCCAUAACUAGCCAAAUCUCCCAGAUAUUUUGUGGGAGCUUUAUGUAUGAAGAAAUGUUGAGAUGUUAGAAAAAUAGGACAUUAACCAAGAGUAAUGAAAAUGUCAGCAAAAAGUACUGAGUUAAAAUUAAUAAAGAUAGUUCUUGAAGAAAUUAAUUUGUAAACAUUUGUGAAGGGAAAGGAGAAAAGCUUGUGAGAGAAACUAAUACUUGAAAUAAAUAUGGGUAACUAUAAGGAGCAGGAAUUGUUUUUAUUUUUUUUUAUUCUAAUAUCAUUGCUAUAUUUUGUCUUUUUUUCCAUUCUAUUUCUAUUUAGAUUUUAGCUCAAAAUGGAGAUGGACUGAUCUAAAAUAUUCGUCAAAAAUGCUUAAACACGUUGAGAACCCAAAUAUACUUUUAAAUAUGGUCAAUGUGUGUCUUUUGUACAUAGAUCUGUGUUCAUAGUACUAGAAAACUGUUGAGGCCAAAUAGUAGAGAGCUUGGACCCUGACGGUAUGCAGUCUUGUUUACACAGAUUAGACUGAAUAGAAAGUCUAUGGCUGGCUGUGAAGACUGCAAGAUUUUCAGGCUGAACAGGCUCAUAUGGAAGCAGCUGAGGCUUUGUAUGAAAGUGGGAGAUACUCUGCAUGGGUGAUUAACUGUAGUGCAGUGAUCACUUUUCAGGCCAGCCUCGACUCCAUUUUAGACAUCAAAAAAAGGUUUAUAAAGCAAAGUAGUCUUCAAAAUUUUCUGUUAACAAUCAUUCUGAGGAAGAGAUUAAAAAAUGUCAAUGAAAUCAGAAAGUCAAGAGGUUUAUUUGGCAUAAUGGCUGAACAGGGAAGUUCUGUUUUUCAAGGAGGAUCAGGGAGUUCAAUGGUAGGUACAAGGCCACAGUACUAAAUGCUGACAUGGACUUUCCAAGGUUGCCCAGAGUAGUGCUAAAGUCAAUAAUUCCAUAUUGCACCUGUCAGAAGCUACAACAUAAUUGCUUUGAAGUGAGGCAUAUUAACAUCCAUGUGCUCAGCAAACUAAGCAAUUAUGAACAGGUCUCUGCUCUCCCUGUUGGCUGUUAUAAGUAUUUGUUCAAUUUGUUGCUUUGCCUCAAUUCUAGUUAAUGUGACUUAUGAGCACUUAGCACAUACUGGAAAGACAAGGGAGAGAUGUGGCUGCUGGUAGUCUGGCAGUAGUCCACAAACUGUGACCUUAUAGUGACAGGCAAAGAUGGGGCUGAUAGUCAGGAAGGAGUACAGGAUUGUAGGGCAGGAUGCUGCCAGUUGGCAUGGAAACACUAACAGUCAAAGCAUUAAGAUUUUAAAGAAACCAAACUUUUCUUUUCUUUUUUUUUUCCUAGAACAUGAUAGCAAAUGUUUUUGUAACAGUUGCAGAGACUGCUGAUUUUGCCUUUACAAGAUCAAACACACAGUACUACAGGAAUUUGAAAAAAAACAUAUAUCUCUCAAUAUAUUACAUGGGAAAUGAGGAAAAUUGUGUUCUUAUGAAAUUUGUUAUCACUGAGUUCGCCCAAUAUUAUGCAGGUGAUUACUUGAAUUUUCCAAGCAGCAGAUGUUCAGAAAUGGGGAGACAGAAGCUGGCCAAGAAAGCUGCCUCAGCAGCAGUGUGGGUUAUAAAUUCAGCAUGGACAAUCUGUUCUUCAAAGUAGAGCUAAAGUGAUUUAAAAGGUUCGUCAAGGUCACGUAGGAAUACUGUACAGGAGUGCUCCAAAGCACCAGCUGUCAGGACUGUCAAGUCUUGCUAAUGAACAGUGGAAUUUGUAGAAAAUAAUACUAAUGCUAAUUGAAACCUGAACAGCUUAGAAGUCUAGCAGGUUAUUGCUAUUGAUUCAUAUCCUAUGAUAAUGUCUCCUACAGAGCAUGCAGGAGUGCCUGUCUACCUGUAGUAUUAGCUAAUCCAUUGUUGAUGCCAUUCAUACAAGUAUCUGGAAGGUCUGAAGCCCUCUUCAGAGAGAGGGGUGUUCUAUUACUAUAGAAAUGAUGGAUCACUUUCUGAUUUUGUAAUAAAUUCUGAGCAGUAUCUUCACCUCAGAAAAGGAGAGGAAAGUGCCAAGAUAGCUUACAGUUCAUUAGGAUUUUUUCCAAGGGCUGGAGUGGGUCUGAAUAAUCUCAGUUAUAAUUUAAUUAAUCUAAUUAUCUUAGUUUCUGUUUUGGGGAAAGAGGUGGAGGCCUUUUUUAUAAAAAGGAUUAAUAAGGAACCAUUAAUAAGGAACCUAGCAGCAGUUGUGUCUUAGGUAUAUGUGCCAAGUCUGACCCUAGAGUUGAAAGAGAGAUAUGUAAAUUCUGGACCUUAAAAUGCUAAAUUGCCCUUAAAUUGCCAAUUAUGAUCACGUGUGUCUGCAUAGGAGAACAAAUCAGAACUCACCCUAGCUCUGGUCUCAUGGUCCAACUGCAGGCACACAGCACUGAGUUUAAUCAAACAAGCCUCACUUCUUCAUUCAGGAAUCUCUGAAGCUCCAUGGUAUGUAUUCCCUAUGUUCUUCUUUAAAUUCGGUUCCAUUUUAAAAUGAGAACUUACAUGGCACUAAGAAUAAUACCGAUAUCUAAGUAGACUGUCUCUCAAGGGUUACAUGACACAUGUAACAAGUAUGUUCAAUUUCAAUGCAGUUUGUAGACUUCGUUAAAGACAGCAACAUUAUCCCACAAACAGCAUCCAAAACAUUCAAAAAAAUUUUAUAGACCAACAGUGAGGGCCUUGAUAAUGAAGAAAUUUGGUCAGUUUUUUCUCUACAUUGACUUAUGAAAUUUCUUUAAUUGAGUUUUAUGACAUUCAUCUCAGAAAUUUAGUAAAUAAAAAUCACAGGUUGCAAAUGGUAUUUGUGUAGAUAUGUAAAAGAUCUACAGGAAGACCCUUUGAAUUUUGGGAAUGUGAGCCUAUUUCUACUACUCAAGUGGUACAGAUCCUGAGUGUCACUUAUUAAGUUAUUACUGCAAAACCACAGACUUCUCAUGUCACCAGUUGGACCUCCCUUUGCUUCUUGUCACUGCUUUUACUGUGCUGCCAGAACAAAUACAUUCAUUGAGUGGUAAGUUAUAAUUUUCCAGAUUUAUGCAGUGUUGGAAUAUUCCCCAUGGUAUCUUUCUGUGCACAUUUUGCAAUUCAGCUGCUUAAGGAAAAUUCUGGGAUUUGAAUUGCAAUUAUUUUUAAGUAACAAGUAAUUUAGUAUAAAAAUGGUCUGGUGAGUGUCACAGUUGUCUUUAUGGUCUUAAGUUUCAACUUCACACUGUGAAGACAGUAAGGUUUGUUCGUCAGCCAGAUCUUGAAGCUGAGAAUAGAGUUAAUUAACUGAGAUUGGCAGUAUAUGCUUUCCCUAUGUCAGGACAAAACUUUACCGGUGUUUUGAAAACAACCUUCCAGUUGUUUUUAUAUUAUUCUGACACUUUCUGGGAGUAUUUUUCAUAAACUGUUUUUACAAAUCACUGACAAAUAGGAUCGUAGAAUCAUAGAACAGUUUGGGUUGGAAGGAACUUUAAAGACCAUGGAGCUCCAACCGCCUGCUGUGGGCAGGGCUGCCAAUCAUCAGAUCAGACUGCCUGGGGUCCCAUCCAACCUGGCCUCAAAUAACUCCACAUAUGCCUAAUACUGAACAAAAUGAAUAUAAAUAGUUCAAGAUUCAAGGAACUUAGGAUAUAUAUAGGCACCUAUAUAAUGCAGUUCAGUGCACAUUGAAUGUUGCAAGUAUGAUCAGUGUAAGACCUUGUCUUUCCAUUUUCACAUUCAUAUUUUCAGGUUAGCACGAAGAAAGUUACUGUUCUUCAAUACAAAUGAGAUGAUCAAAAUUAUAUUUAUCUAUCUGAAAGAUUUUGAAGAUUUAAUACCUCUGUUAGUCCAUCUGCAGAGCCAACAGAAAUCCCAAGGUGGCCAUCUGGACAGAUUUCACUUCUAACAUUCAGCCACCAUUACUGUCUCUUCUCUUAGAAAUAUGUAAUUUGUGGGAAGCAGACAGAAGCAGUGUUAAGACAGCUGCCUGAAGUCUAGCUUUCUGGUCAGGUAAGUGUGUUGCAGAAACUAGAGAUCCGCAUGGCCGAGGAAACUGUAUGGAGUGGUUAAAAAUAGCUGAUGCACUGAACUAGUCAGUUUUCAUAUUGGGCUCAUAUAGGGCAGAGACUGUUAAUGAUUGUUGAAGCGUGUAUUUAUAGGAAGUUGACCAUGUGGAAACCUGGCCCAAAUCACCUCAGUCCCCAGUAUAUACAUAGAAAUUACCUAGAACCUUGUAAAUAAGGAAUACUCAUAAAUGUUUUUCUUCUUUUAAAAAUGACUUAAUGGUUACAGUUUUCCAUUCAGAAUACCUUUAGCUGUUUAAUGAAGCAUCAUGUACAGUAUGAACUACAUAAUAAUUAUAGGUUUUGGAGCUGUUUGUAAGUGAUAGCUUACAAUAAAAAAUGUCUGACUUAAGAAAACAGUCUUGCUCACAGAAUAGUAAUUUUAGCAUAAAAGUUUAUGAUUUUUUAUAGCUUUAUAACAUUUGAUGAUGCUAUAAAGCCCUCACAGUCUUUACUGUUUAAAAUGAUUUGAUAGCACACAUACGUUGUGUGAAUGCUGCAUUCUUCAUCAAAUUUUAUUUUUGCUUCCCGUUCUGUUAAAAAAUAAAAAUGUAGCAUGCAAAUACAGAGAUGAUUAUUUCCUACUUCAGUGUUUUAAACAUUUGACGUAGAGUGGAUGGUUAAAAAAUGAAAAAAUGUUUGUAGUUCUUAAAUGGAAAAAAAUUAGAAAAAUGUAAGAUAAAUAGAAUGAGCAAUAUUCUGUGAGUUUUUGUUUUUGUGCUUUUGUUGUUGCUGCUUUUUUUUUUUUUUUCCUAGAAGUGAAAUGAAUAUUGAUGAAAGAAAGGAAAAUAAAGGUAAGAAAAGUCUACCUGUCUACAUUUUGUUAUCUCAUGAUUGAAACAUUCUGACCACAGCUAACAAAAAUCACUAAAAUAUAUCCUUAAUUUACAUUAACUGCUUAUCUCAUGCAGGCUUAGUUGGAAUUGGAGUACACUUAAGUUCUUUGUCAAAUGUGAAUGUGAUAACUCAUGUAAGUGCAAGUUUGAUCAGGAUUAAUCAGUGAAUGUUUAUGAGAGUGUUACUAGUAUACAAUCCUGUUUGUCAGCUGUGGUGAGAAUGCGUUUGUUUGCUCUAGUGUGUUCUAUAAAGCCAAUCUAUUUCAGUAAUAUAAUCUCAGUUUAACCUUCAAAAUAGUGAGCAUAAUUACUUGAUCUUUCAGGUAUCAAAAUCAUCCAAAAGAAAUCCUGUAAAGAUGCUGAAGCAAAAUCCUAAAUGAUGCCUAUAUGACUUCUUUUGCUGACUCUUUUGAAAAAAAUGUUUAAUGACUCAUUAGAUAGCACAGUGGCGGUUCUACCCUAUUUCUUGCAGAAAAAAAAACACUAAAAUGAUGGAAGAAGAGAAUUUAGAGGACAGUAUUCUGCACUCCACUUAAAGUCUAAUUUUUGGGAUCCUAUCCUGAUGUUUAGAAGGCACCCCUUUUGCCAUUAAAGCUAUUUAGGCACAACUGUUUAGACAAAUUUGACACUCUUACUUAUGAAAGAAGAUUAUAACAUUCUCUUCUGGUAUGCAGCUGCUACUAUGCAUAAUUUACUCAGCAUUUAUAGUCUCUUCAGAUUGUAAAGCUAUUGUGUGAAUGUAUUCUCUAGAAAAUAGCUAUUACUUUGAUAGUAAUAUCUUACUAAGGUAAGAAAAGAGUACUCAGUACUGAGAUCUAUUUUGCAGUGGCUGUAGAAAGUCACUCCAUUUUUCACAUGUAAAGCUCUGCUGCUUACAUUUGUCUAAAGCAUAUUUUUCAAGCUGGGCAUAAAAGCCUUAAUGACUUUCCACAGCCCCUUCAUGGUGAGAGAAAGUUCAGAAGUGAUAUUCAUCCAGCCUUGAAUGAGGAUGAAUGAGGAAGGGUUUUAAUGGAUAAACAGAUGUUCAGUCUUAUGUAGGAUUUUGUAUUUGAUCAUUCAAAGAAAUGGCAAGAAAUAUCAACUUGUCAGGCAAACCGUUUCCCACCAUGAGCAAAAUAUACUGGAACUAACCCCUGCAUCUGUUAUUUUCACUUGAGCAGAGGAGCCUCAGCAGCUUCAAUUCUAUUUAGAUUGUUUUGAAAACAGUUUACCUGAAUAAACAGUGAAAGUGCCACUUCUCAUUUACAACAUAUUGAAACUUGUCAAAAACCAUAAUUGGACAUGUGAACAGAAAAGAAAGAACUCAGAGCUCUGUAACACAACAGCAGUAAGAUACUUUACAGAAAUGUUGCAGAAAUAAAAUGGUGUGCCUAGUGCUUAAGAAUUUGCCACUUGAAUAAAUUGAUAAAGGAAUAGUUAUAAAAUUGAACAUUUCAGUAGGCCACAAAUAGGAGUAUCAACUUAAACAUUUUAAUGAAUAAUGAAUUACUAAUAAUUUAUUAAUGAUUCAAAGAUCAUAGCACAUCCAUUACAGGGCAAGUGUAAGGUAUUACUUUAAAUAAUAUGUGAGUGAGCAAAUAUAGAGUAUAUUAGAUACUUUUCAUUGAGAUUCAUAUUUGGAUUUCUAGAUAUUGAUUGUAUUUCACUGAUAUACACUGUCUUAAAAUUAUAGAUGAGUAAACAAGGUAAUAUUUUCAAAAAUAGUGGCCACAUAUAAGCUUCCAUAUCUGUAGUUACUUUCCUAAAAAAGAAAUGUGUUUUGAGUUUAGGUUUUGUUUUAUACUAAAGUAAAAUUCCCAAAAUGGUCUACCUUGUAUUGAAGUACAAUAACCUAAGGAGUAUAUUAAUGACUUGCAACAAUUUUAAUUUCCACGUCAUUCUGAAAAGAUUUUUUUUUUAAUGGAUAAAAUAUUUUAGAACUUUAACCUAGAGAUGAAAUAGUUUGAAAAUAUCAUCCUAGGUGUAUUUUUUUUCAAGACUCCUAACAUCACAGUGUCAGUAACAGAAAGUAACUAUUAAAUAUUUUCAUGUUCCUUGCUGUAUCCAAAAAGUCACUUCAUGGAGGAUUAUUAUCUUUUCCAGAAUAACACAUACUCUAAUUAUCAUUAAUUGUAAAAUUCUUACCAUUUUUUUAGAACAAAAACAAGCUGUAAGUGACAUAUUGUCGACGGUUUACGGGCUGGUCCAGCCCGGUUCCAUGACUAGUGGGGCGGAGGGAUUUUUUUGCAAAAUCCGCGCCUCCAGAAAAGGGAAACAGGGGACCCCCCACAAAAAAGAAUAAUUAAAAAAAAACAGCAGCAAUGAUCUGAGGAGAAACAAACUAAUUUACUAAAUAUAGUAUCGGAAUGCACGAUAAUACACUAUAAUACAAUAUAAUUCUAUAUAAUUGUUAAUAAAAUCAAAUAUAAUUGAGAGAAGGAUUGUCUGAGAGCUAAAGGCCUUACACUAAUACUGAAGCCUUGCGUGCAGUCAGGAGCAGCAGUGAGAUGGUCCGAAAGCAAGCACGAUGAGAGGAGAAGGCAGAGGACUCAGGUCAGGUGACCUACAGGCCUUAUAUCUGUUCCCCUGAGCAGGAAUGAUAACAGUACUCGAACAGUCUUCUGGGGAACGUGGUGGUUCUUCUCUUCCGGAUGAGUACCCGGAACUAGAGCAUUUGCUUUUUAACUCCCAGUUAAACAUCACUGCAUGAUGUUAUGAUGUGGAAUACCAAUAACCAAAAAUCAUAAAACCAUGACACAUAUACAAACAACUGUACAGAUCCUGUCAGUUCAUGGUCUAAAAGUCAUUAAUGGUUAGAAGACAGCAUAGAAUAAUAUAGAAUUCAGUAGUACAGUCACUGUAACUGAAGUGCCCCAAACCCGAAGUAUCUAGAUAAACAAACAAAGAAACAAACAUCAAAGAUGGAAUUAGGUUGAUUAUUACAUCAAGAACAUUGUCCCCACAUCCCAUUUAAGAAGGAAAAAGAAAAGAAAAUGAGCCAAUCCCUUCUAUUACUGAACUUUAUCAGCUCUUCAUUUAAUGAACAUAUGUACUACACGUUUGGCCUGAAUUAGGUUACAGUCAUUACUUAUACUGUAGGAGAAAAAAAAUCUGUCAGCAUCAUUAACAAAAUUUUGUCUUUAGACUGUGAAUUAUUCAGUGUUUUGUUGCUUGACUUUGCUUUUCUGCCUGUUUGCAUGUCUGAAACUGUGUGUUGAGCUUAGGAUGGUUAUUUCAGCCAAAGCAAUCUUGCCAGGCUCCCUAUUGAGCAAGACUGUUAGGCAAGACAGCUGCAUGAUGUUUGGUUUAAUUUGUUGACACUAAAAAUCCAUGAGUUCAGCUCUAAUGGAAGACAGAUCAUGCAAUGCCCUAGUGAAGUACUCGGAGCAUACUUAGCAUAGCAGAUUUUGACCAGGGAAGAGUGCACACAUUCUAAAUUGACAGAAAAUCAGAGAGCCUUAGUAGUUCCUACAGCUAAUGGAAAUUUGAAUUAUGCUUUGCCAAUGAAGUCUGGGAAAAAAAUUAACAGAAAGAAGAAAAGAGUAGGAAUACAAUGGAGGGAGUAGAGCAGAAAAGAAUACAAAUGUAAAAAUUGUUCUUUGUGAUCUAACUGAAAGUUAUGCUUAAAUUUUAUGGUUACAUUUAAUUAAACAGAUUUUUUUUCAGUAAGUUGCACAUCCAGAAAAAGAGUUUCUAAUGACUAUCCGCCCAAAAGGCAUUGAACCAUGUUCAAAUUUACUUUUGUGCUCCUAGCAGCAAUAGAAGCAACAAAGAAAUGAUAACAGUACUUACUACAUAUGCAUAUAACAUUCCUGUCAGCAUUUUCUUACUUAGAAAAGCCUAAAAAAAGUUUGUGGUUACUGAAAAAUUUCAUUGUGAAAUUCUUGAUGAUCAUCUCUUCUUUCAAUUCAAGAAUGAACUUCUCUAUCUCUGUGAAAAGAUUUAUUUCUGACAGGAAAAAAAAAAGAUGUUGCCAUUUUUUGUUUGUUACUUAAUAUGUUACGUGAAAAUAUAGAACAACAUCCCAGAUAAAAUCCCUCCUACCACAGAAUUUGGCUUAUGUUUAUUGAAACUUAAGUACAUACUAACAAGCAAUAAUUUUAUGUUAAUUCUGAGGACUUUUUGGAGCACAUCUGUCCUGUAGAAAAAGUGAUAUGUAUUACAAGCCCUAAGCAGGUGGAUGCAGCAAACAAGCUGCGGGUCAGAGAAAGAAAUUAGUAUCAAAAAUACUAGAAAUGUGAAUUCCCAGGCAAGUGAAACCGUGGCUUUCUGUAUGGAGUUUAUUGCUUUCUGGGUGUCUUAUAGCAGAAAGGAACCUGAGGAUGAGAUAAGGGGAGGAAAAAAUUGAACUUUUACAGAGUGCACUUAAAAUGUGCGUGCUAGAUUGUAGACACAUGAUAAGAAUGAGAAUAUCAGUCUAUUAUUUCAGUACUUCUGUGGUUAAAGUUGUCUUAAAUAUGUUGCAUAAAGAUGUUAUUUUUUUAAUGUAUAAUUUUCAUUAGGUUUUUGAAGAUUCAUGGAAAAAGAAUGCAUUUCCCAGAAUCAUCAGUCUCCAGGGUGACUGUACUCUUACAGCCAUGCUUGUGAAGAGAGGAGGUCCUUAAGCACUGCCCACCUCCUGUCUGUGCUUUGACAGCUGCCCUAAUGCAAUCAGGAGCCAGCAGGUAGGACAGAGCUGAAGCUCUCUGCCUGGGUACCAACUAAACAUGGAAGCUCAGAGGCCAGGGUGUACCAGAGAGAAAGCUGCCUCAGAAGAAAAGGGGUUAGUCUAGUUCUGAAUAGCUUGGACAUUAAGAGACUGGAGAAAGCAUGGUUCAAGAGUGGGAGUGAAAUUCCAUUGUCAGCAUUCAUGAAAAACUACUAGUGCUUCUAAUAGUUUUCUUGGGAAAUCAAAGCACCUGAAUUGCAUGUGUACCUGGCUUCUGUGGUUGGAAUACUGGAUGAAUGCCCUUGAAAACCCUGCCUGGUUCAUUAGUUAACUGGGAGAUGCCCAGAGGUUAUAUGUAGAACAUCACUGCAACUUUUGAACAUAGGAUCUGAAGGAAACCAGUUUCAGUGGAGGCCAUUAAAAUUAACUGGAAUUCAGUUUAGCGAGUACAUUGCUACUGCACAAAAGCAGUAUCUACAGCUUCAGCGAUAAAUCAUAGCAACCUCUAUAAAUGGUAUACCACAGAAAAUCACAAUUAAACAAAAUAAUGUUUUCCUCCUUUUACUCUAUUUCUCUAACAGCUGUAACAGCUGAAGUAUCAUGCCAGAGACAUUAAUAUGCCUGGCCCCUGAGUAAUUCUAGAUGUAGGCUAGAUUUACCUGGAUUACAGUUGUAUAUUUCAGAAGGUGAAGAAAAGAGAUGCAGCACUUGAGAUUUAAUUUUGACAGGAAAAAAGGCAGACACAAAGUUGAAGCAUCAUCUAAAUGGUUAAUUUGGAUACUUAGAGACUUCUAGCUGCUGUGGUGUGUGAACACCUGGGAAGAAAAGACUCCAGCAGGUAAACAGCUAUACUUUCCUACUACUGGUUUUGUCCUUGCACUGAUUUUUGUAGAUAUUGGUGACGAAUAGUUAAAUAAAUAAAUAAAUAAAUAAAUAAAAUCCCCUGUCCUUAGAUAACUCAAAAUCAACAUUUUGAAUUAAAUGAAGAACAGAAAAUAUUGAUUCUUAGCAAAACAAAUAGAGCAGGUGAACAAAAUCUGUGUUUUGAGAAUGAAUGUUUUAGCAAAGCCAGCAUUUGCAAAUUGGAAAAUAUCAAUAUUGCUCUCUGUCACUACAGCCAUGCAUCUCCCUGCACAGGAGUUAUUCUCAGUUAAUACCUCACAAAACUAAACAACUAAUGUAAGCUUAAAAUGAUAUUAAUUGUUCAGAAAACAAAGAAAAUUCUUCUCCAGAGGCACAAGAUUUCUCUUUACUAUACUUCCAUUUCUUGGAAAACAUCCAUAAAGGGCGCUGGACUUUUGCCUCAAUGAAUUUUGGUCAAUUCACUGUCCUUUCUGGUUCAAGGUUUGAGCUGAGAAUAUGUUUUCUAAUAUUCAAGGCCACAAUGUUAAAUUUGCAUUAGUAUUCCAGUGCUCACAUUUGGAAAGGCAGCAUUUGAGAUAGGACUUGCACAGUGCAGAGCUUAACUAGUUAGGAUUUAUAUCCUGAAUGUACUGAGAAGAAAAUAAAAAGCCAGUGUGUUUUGAUGAAGCACAAGUUCCUGUUGAACCUGUUGAAGGGUUCCUUCUGUUUUGUUUCACACAAGCACUGUUUAGGUAGCACAUGUGCCAGUUGGCCCAACAAUUUACCUCACAGGAGUCAGAAGUGCUAACAACUGAGAAAUGUUUUGCCAAAUCAAGAUGAAAUGUUGUCUUUUGUGUGUGUAACUAUGUCUUUAUGAAAUAAAUGACAGAAAUUCUGUCUAUCUCUAGAUCCACUGCAGAGGGAAUGUGUAAUGCAAUGAUCAUCAGGAACAGACUUAUCAGGGGUCAGAUCAAAGAUCCACAUGGCCGAGUAUCCUGUCUCUGAUCAGAUUCAAUGGCAAAUUCCUAAGGAAAAGCAAAACAGGUGGAAUUUGUUUGUCUGACUGCAGAAGUCCACAUUUCAGUCUGAACAUAUUGCUUGAGGUUCUUUCCACAGUGAAAGAAAUUGUCAGCAGAGCUGGUGGGAACUUGUCUUGGAGCAGAUGCUCAAAACAGGAGAGCAGUUUCUCCUGAGAAGUUCUUGUCUUUCUCCCUUGAAUGCAAAGAUAACCUGGAAAGAUUAGCUCAGCUGUAUAUUUUUAUAAUGUAGAUAUGGAGAAAUGAGAAGAAUUCCUCAGUGUUUAUCUCCUAUUUCUCCUGCUAAUUUACCCAUUUACCUUUUUUAUGCAGGUAAAUAAAUCCAUGAGGUAACUCAGUGUUAAUCCUAACUACCCAGUCUGAGAAGAACUGUCUUUUGUUAGUUCUAAAUUUGUAACCUGUUAGUUUCAUUUCUUGUUUCUUAAUAUUAUUUUGCUGAUAUGCUCACUAAAAGGAAAUCAACUGAUAGUAUGAAGGUUCUUAACGACAAGCUUACAUGGCAUAGACCUUUGUGAGCCUUACCUGCCUUUGCAGCAUAUAGGGUAUACAGAAGCAGAAUGUGCUGUGUCAUGAAGCAUCUGCUGAAGGACAACCAAAAAUUGGAUUGAAUGACUUGAGUAGCAACCAGAGUUCCCUCUAGUAUAAUCAUGUUGAUUUGACUGUUACGAUUGGAACACAAAAGAUAAUGAUGAUUUGUGUGAUGCUCAAAGCUGAUAAGAUUUUCCAUAAAAAUUUGGUGUUGUUUUUGAUCCCGAAAUAUCAGACAGAUAAAUAAGCAAAAUACGUUCACUGUACCGAUUUCUUACGCAGACAUUUAAAUUGUGAACAUUUUAAGAUUAAGAAAUGUAUUUUGUAAAGGAGCAAAAUUGAACUUGCCUGUCACUGAAGAGACAGAUAAUUCGUUGUGUGACAGGAAACACAGGGUUAUAUUUAGAAAAGGUUUAUUGUAUGGUCUUCAGUUGUAACUGCUUGAUGCAAAGGAAAUUUUGGAACUCUACUUUCCUUAGCUGUUUGAUGGAAAAGGUUCUUGAGAAUAUGUACUUUACCCACUGCCUAGUCACAGUCUUCCUCUGAACUCUAGGUUUCAAAUAAUCUCCUGGACCAUAGUUUGUAAUUAACUGGCUUUAAGUCACAGACUUUAACACGAGUAACUCUGCUCACUGAGCUGGAGUAACUUCAUAAAUAAACCUUGUACCCUGGGAAGUCCUCAUAACUCUCUCCAAAGUUCUCUUCCAUGCUAAUUAGCACAAAUGAGGCAAAAAAGGAUCUGCAACCAAUAAACAACUCUAGCUCCUUGUAGAAGAUGAUAAAGGUGCCAUUUCUUAUAAUACAGAUUAGAGAAGUCUUGAGCUGAAUUAUACAUUACAGACAUCCUACCCAUUAUGCAGUGUGUGUUGAAGGCUAUUAUCUUCAGUCCUUUGGGAACCGUGAGAUACGAGAGACAUAGAAGCUAAGAAGAAAGAAGAUGAAAAAAGAAAACUUUUUUUGCUGGAAGCAAAUUUUAGUUUAUUAUUCAGCUCAGUUCCACUGUUCCACUUUCAAAGUUUCACUAGAUGUUCCAGUUAAAUAGCAAAUGGUAGUUUGAAAAAGAAAGAUUCCUUUAAAGUAGAAUUUCUUCAGGGAGGACAGGUACAGUCUCCAGAAUUCUAACAUUAAAGCAACUGAAUUUGCCAAAAUAGGUUAGGCAACCUUUCCUUAGAUUUUCUUUUAUUUUUAUCUAUGAAACAAACUCUGCUUACCACUGCUUAUGGCUACUUAUGAUGACAAGUUUGACUUCUGUCUAAACCAGGGUGCUACUUAUUUUAUACUCAUAUUUUAAGAUGAUCUCAUUUAGGAACAUACUUCAAACCACUUUCUGAAAGCAACGGUGUGUACUCUUUUUUUUUUUUUUUUUUUCAUUCUUGAGCGUUCGAGGAGGUUAGCUUCAUUCCUUAGAAGCUUAAAGUUAAUGUAUUCAUUUUUUACCCUUCUUUCCAAGGGGCAUUCACGAUGUGUCAUUAACCAGCAGUGCUAUCUCUUUGUAAUGCAGGCUCUCAUAUGACUUGACCCAUACUUCUAGUAGUCUGCACCAUCAGCUCAAGUACAGUAAACACCUACUUGCUGAAAUCACACUCGGAUACCGGAAUCCCUUGUGACAAUACAUACUUUCAUGGUAUAAACAGCUGAAUAUUGUACAUGAGAAUUCCAGAUGGCUGAGAGAAACAGAAAUUAUGAUUUUCCUCUCAUAAGAAAUUAAGACUAUUUAAUUUUUGUAAAAAUACCCUAGAGGACUAUUAUGUGACUUGCAUUUUUUUUUUUUUCCUUCCCAGUCUCAGAAUAAGAAUUUGCAGAAUGCUACUUUGUCAGAUGGAAAGCAUGUAUUUUUCCCUCUUGGUGAAAAAAAAAAAUCAUAUUAUUGGUUGCAUGAAUAUGAUUUUAACUGGCUUUUCAUGACUAUAAUAUAUUUGAAAAGAAGACAUUGUGCACAUAAAUGAAAGCAAAGGUUUUGGUUAGAACAAAUCCAGUUCAUUCUCUCAAAUUUCUCCAACUAAGGCAAGGUUCUUCAUAACUUUAUAGGGAGGAAACUAUAAACAUUCUUUGAUGAAAAUGUUAUAAUCUUUGUAGAUCAUUUGUAAUUAUGCAUUAAACAAAACAAUGAAAGUGAAGUGUACCUAACAUUUACCACUGAACAACUUGCAUAAGGAUAACUUUUCCCACUUCAUACUCCAGUGAAAGAAUACCUUGAUAAAAUGGUUAACUGGAAACAGAUGUUAAGUGUUGGGAUAAAAUGCCUGUAGCAACUUUAAACAAAUUCAUAUCUAUCUCAGCUAAGCCUAUGCUUGACAGGUAAAGUACAAGGGGCCCCUAUCUUCUUUCUGUUGCUUACAGCAGCACAGGUAACAUACGUUUUCUGAUUAACUUUUAGUGUGGUAGAAGCUGCUGCAAGCCAAGAGCCAGCUAUAUUUAGUAGGCAAGGGACAAGGCAUCUGAGGGAAAAAGUCUAGCCAAAUAUAAUGAAUUGUUUGAAAGCUGAAGACGAAUACAUUUCCAUUUCUUAAGACCUGUGUUCUGAUCUUGAAUUUCUGUCACAAGAUUAAGGAUUAAGGACCGUCAGAAAAAGAAGUAAACCUGGCAACAUAGCCAUUGCCUCCCAUAGGCAAAUACAGGAUGAAAAUCAGAUCUCUUUUACUACAGGGAGUCUAGGAAAGCUUCUGCUUGACUAAAAAAAUGCCUUAUUUCCUCCUCCUCCUCCUCCCCCCCGUCCCCACCAUUCAGUUGAAAAAUAAAUAUUAAAGAAAAAUAAAUAUGAGUAAAUGCAUUCUAAAAGCAGAAUGGAGAAUUAUCUCAAUAAUGGAAAAGGAAUCCUGUCUUCUCUUCACCUGUACCCUAGAAAUUUAUGAAAGUUACUGGAGGUUAAUCAGAAACAAUCAUGAAAUCUGAAACAAGCUCCAUUUUUUUGUGAAAAAACAGAAGAAUAUUGUCAUGUAUUCAACCUCCUCAGUUCAAUUACAAUAAGCUUAUUCCUCAGUUAUGAUUAACAUCACUAAGGCUGUUAUCUCAAAGGGUCACAAUUCAAAUCUAUCCUAUACUUGUCUCUUACUGAUGCUACCAGAACUUUUGGAGCAUGGAUUUCAAAGCAGAACCUGAGUGGCAGACUAGGAAUCAAUGUAAUCUUUUACACUUAGAUGUUUGUAACACUGUUUUUCAUCUGUUGCAGUUUGAAACACAACUAAGACUUGCCUCCCUCUGGAAGGAAUCCAAAAUGGAGGUUCUUAUGGGAAGAACACAGUUGUUCUGUUUUUGUUGUUGUUGUUGUUGUUUGUUUGUUUGUUUGUUUUUCUUAUAAAUAUACUUCAUUAUUGUUGUUGUUUGUUUUGUUUUGUACCAUUUUGUUUCUUUUGUGUAGAUCACGUCAAAUAACAGUGGAGGCUGAAUUUAGUCAAAAGAGGAAGUGAUUCAAAUAUUUCUAGUUUGCAUCAUAGUUAUAACGGUCCUGAAACAAGACUGGAAGUUCAUUUAUUUUUAAGCUGCCACCUUUAAAACAGCCUCUGUGGCUAUACCGUGAUAUUCUGAGGCCAACAUUCAUUUGAGCAAAUGCUCCUAGCUGGCUGUUCUCUGUGAGAUCUCCAGGCUUAGGCAUUCAGUAUCUCUAUUCCAACAGUUGUGCAAAACAAUUAGAUUCAUUUGUCUUCAGAGCACAUGGCAAGCUUUUGUGAAAGAGGAGGCCUGUGGUUGUUGGACAUAAAGUUGAUGGGAUGGUUAGAAUUUGCUGACAGCUUGGAAGCUUUGUCUUUCUUUCUCUCACCACCUUGUGGAGGAAAAAUUGCUGUUGUUACUAAAUUCUCUUCAACUUGGUUAGGCUUUGUAGAGAUUCGUGAUUUUAGAAAUGUCUUUUAGACAGAGCAACAAACUGAAAAUACAUUUAUUUCUGGAAAUACUUAAGGUUUCAUUGUGAUAACAGUGGGUUGUAUUUGUGCUAUGUUUUACUCCCUGCAUUUCAAAUGUAACUAUCUGCAUAGACUGAGAACACUUGCUCUGCAUGUAAAACCAUCUAGUGUUGUUCUACCUAAAAUCAGGAGUUAUACCAAAAUCCAGGUGAUUUCUCAGCUGUUAUGGUUUCUUUGCUUAUUCUAAGUUAUUUUUUGUUUUUAUUUUUUUUCUUUUUCCUUUUUUCUCUGCAGCAGUAAGUAAAAUGUGUCUGAAUCUGUUGUAGGCUGACUUUUUAAAUGUUAGUUUCUGCUGAAGUCUUCUAAACACUAGAUGUUAUACUUCUUUAAAGGAAUUUCUUUUUUUUCCUGUGCCAGAGAUCCUGUCCCAAACUGACAUAGAAGUUGUUUUUAGCUCAGAUAUUUCCUAAAAAAAAAAACAACAAACAAAACCAAAAUAAAACAAAAAAAGAGAAUUAUACCUCAAUGAAAAUGUGAUGCAGAAAACUCUUAGAGCAUUUUGAACUGAUUGAAACCCAUCCAAAUAAGGCUAAAUAAUUCAGUUUUAGAUGAUAACACAGGCAUCAUGCAUCAUUGCCUUUCGUAUUAUCUUAGCAAAGCUACAACUAAGCUGUGUUCAUUCCUGUGUCUUAUCAGGAGUAUUGCACAAUACCCUAUAGUACACUUAAGGGCAAAGUUCCUUUGAUGCAGACUUUGUCACCUGUUAAAUACACCCAGAGUACACAUUAUCUAGGUAAACUUCUGACCUUUUGAAAUUAAAUUAUCUACUUCCAGUGAAUCAGAUUUAAAAUCAUUUUACAAAUUGGGAUAAGCUCAAUUUAUCCUAGUUUUUCAGAUUAAAUAUUAUUAAAAUCCUCCUUUGUCUGAGUCACUUUUCUGAAGCUUGCCUGUCAAUGCCCUUGAGAGAAUUAUAAACAUUUGUUGGGAUACUAGACAACACUGAAGAACUACUAUUUUCAAAAACAAGCAAGCAAACAAAACCAAACUCCCUCACCUGUCAUAGUUAUACGACAUAGUUAAAUUUCCAGAUUUAUUGCUUUAGCAUUUUUUUAAUGCCAUACAAUUUCUUUUUGUUACACCUACAAUUGGAUUAGUAUAGAAUAAAGCUCUCAUCCAGAAACGCUUUUUAACUGUCUGCCUCUUUGAAUGGAUUUAAUCGUUUUGUAUUUAAACUAACGAAUUAUGUAAAUGAUGUUGCUUAAUCUAAUUUAAAAUACCAUUUAAUUUUCAUAUACUUUUUUGUUUUUACAUUACUUUGACAGCACUGACAUCAGUCCUAUUUUUACACUAAUAUAAAAAUUAAUAUAGGAUUGCUCUUCACAUGCUUUUUUAGUCUACUUUCUAGUGCAAGUAUCUUAUUCUUUCAGGACCAGCAAAAUAAUAUUAAAGUUGUCUGUAAAAAUUUCUGAACAAAAUUGAAUCAACUAGACAAAGUCAAUUUAGAGAAGUAUAUAUUACAUGUGUGUAGGUGCACUAAUCUUUUCUCAUUAGUUUUAGAUUAAGCAUUUUCCUAUUAAAAGUAAAAUCCUGUUACCUAAGAGCACUGCACAUUUCUCCAAAAGGACAAUGUAAAUUGUUCAGAUUAUCUAAAAUAUAAAAUUGAUAGAAAACACAGAAAAGGCACAGAUGCUUUGGUUUUCUUUACUUUUUUUCAUUCCCUCUUUUUUUUUUCCCCCUGAAUUUGUUUGUGUGGAAUGCAUAUGGAAUUUGUUGUAUCAACAGCAAACAAUGUCUUUUUUUAAAAGGGUAUUUUACUGAUAUUACUUGACGUGUUUUUAAUUAUUCCAGAAAUCAAGAAGUACAAAUGAAACACAUCUGUAUGAUUGCUGUUUUCCCAGAGAAGAGCUGAAAUGCAGUAAGUAGCAUGGAAGGACUCUAUCAGUUACGGCUCUUUAAUGUAUACAAUGUAUUAAACGUAUAUAACGAUAAUGAAAUCUUCCUGUUCGCAGUUGGAUUUUACCUCUAAGGUUAGAUGGAAGGCCCAUAGCAGAGAUGAUACAUGUAUUCCUGUGUGGAUUUAUUUGUUAAAAGUAUGUUUAAAAUGUUUUAUAAUAAAAGUAAAAUCCACUGACGAAUAAUAUUAUUUGAUAUCUUUCAAUAUAAUUGCAAAAAUAAAAAGAUUCAAAUAUAUUAGAAAUUACACAUUAAAAUCAAAACCUACAAAAAUCUAAAUUGCUCUUUCUUAGCUAUUGUUUUCAAACUGUUGUUCUAAGUAAGGCCCAUGACAGGCCCAUGGCCACUUUUAGCUGUAAUGUAUGAUCUCGAAAAGCUUUUGAAAAGGUUUUACAGUACAACAUAAAUAUAGAAAUCCACCCUUUCUCAGUAAACUUAAGGUUAAAUAUACACAUAAAUUAAUGAUUAUAUUCAAGCUAACAACAUGUCAUUUGUUUUCAGUUAUGAAAUAUUCAAAGCUUUGUUAUGUUGGUGAACUCAGAGUGUCAAAGACAGACACACAUUGUUUGAAAAGCUUAAUCUGGAAAAAAAGAGAGUAAAGUUUGAAGAAGGAUAUGUGAGGACAUAUUUAACUACUGUAAGACUUCUUGCAUGCAUAGAUGUGCAUUUAUGUGUCACAUGCUCAUCAGAAUCUACCUACACACAUCAUAUUAACGUUGAUAUAUUAAGAAGUCUUCUUUAUUAGCGUCUUAAUUUCUCGAAUAACACUUUGGAAAAAAUACUUUACUCACAGGAUUUUUUUCCUUCUGCACUUUGGAAGAUCCUCAGAUCCUCACAGUUUACCUGAGAUGGAAAGAUUUAUGUUAUCUCAAAGUAAUGCCAGAAUGUACUCAUUCUAAUAAUUUCAGAACUAAUGAUCACAGACAGAUGACUAAAUCAACCUAGCAGCUCUUUUUCUGUGCUGAAGUCUUUCUGUAUUUACAGAUAAUAAAAGACUAGAAGUCUUAAUAACAUCUAGUAUAAUCAGCUUAAGAUUUUGAGUUUUAUAAUGGACACAUGAAACUGAUAAUUGUUUCCAGUAGGCACAUCUAUCUGGAGCUGGAAAGCUGUUUCAAAUUCACUUUUUCUAUAGAACAAGGGCUGCUCCAGAAGUAAUGCCUCCUGUUUUAUUAUGUUGGCCUACAAUGUCAGAAGCAGGUGUUCGUGGCACGGCAGCAGGAGCUGGACAUUCCCACCAAAAUUUCAUUAUAUUUUGUUGCUCUGUGACAGAUGAAAGAAGAGGGACAGUCUGAGAAAAUGGCAUUUGACAUAGAAGUAAAUAUGUGCAAUUGAAUUCCUCCAUGCAUAGAAAAAUUGUACCCAUUGACAUUCAUUGACACUUGCUGCAAGUUCGUAGAGACCAUACAGUGGGUGUGAGCACACUAAGGUGGAGGAUGGUGUGUUACAGCAGUGGCAACAGUGACGUGAAAGAUAAACCACGUCUUAUGAGAAAGGCAUGCAGGCACUUGUUCAUCAGUGUCAAAAAUGUGCAAUUAAUGGUUGCUACUACACUGAAAAUAAAUGUUUUGUGGCUGAGAAUAUUCUCUAUCAAAUAGUGCUAUUGUGCUGUUUGCAGGUGGUGAAUUUUUCAUGGAAAUAAAUAGGAGGCAUUACUUUCAGAGUGACCUAUGUAUGUUCUCCACUUUUUUUGAGAAGACCUAUUGAAGUUGGCAUAAUAAAAUAAUUUAUUCAGACAUUCAGUUUUCCUUAUAGUUCUGUCUUAGGCCCUUCCUUAUUGGACAGGCUACGUUUGACUUUUCAGAGGAGAUUAGGUCAAAGUCUCCAUCAGUUGCAGGGUCAGGAUUCUUUCCAUUUCCAACUCAAAAUCAGUCUUUUUUUUUUUUUUCUUGUAUCAUUGUACGGGAAAAUAAUAAAGAAUGUAUACUUUGUUUAGGUAUGUCUAUUACACAUUUGUGAGGUGGUCCCAUUGCUUUAAUGUAGAUGGAAUCUUUGCAGUAACAUAGAGAAAUGUGUUUACACAGUUAUGUUUAUUCACUCUCAUAUUCUGCCUUUGAAAGAAGGACAAAUGUAUUUGCCUAAACUGUAAAAUGCUUUUUGCUAAUGCCUCUGAAUUCUUUACACUUACUGUUUUCCCUUCUUCCUAUGUCUCUUUAUCCCUUUGGAAUAUGAUCCUUUUCUCUCUGUCAUUUAGAUUCCUAUUCUUGACUACUGCAAGAUUCUUUCCUGCUACAUAGGAACCUAUGUUUUUCAAGUUUUUACUUUUGACCAAAGCUGUGUUCUUUGGCUCAUUUUUUACCCUCUUAUAUAACCUUCACUGAACUGAAAAAAAUGAUACAAGAAUUGUCUUUUAAACUUGAAUGAAGCGAUAUCAAACACUGUGCUGCCUAACAUAGAGAAAUGAAUUGAUUUGGGGAAAUUAAAUAUUGAUAUUAUGCUCUCAGGGCCAGCACAAAACUAGGCAAUUUCACAAAUUUUGCAUGGACCUCUGAGAGUUAGUGUGAAAAUAUAUUAAAGUAAAGGAAGUAGGGCAAGUGGCUAAAAGAAAGGAGUCUGUAGCUGACAUGUCGGCAUUGUAAGUUUUCAGCCCUUCUGAGCAGAGCUCCACUGAAUGUAAAAUGGCAAAGAGGAGAGGGUCUUUUGUGUCUCUCCUCAGAUAGGGGCAUUGACAACCUGAUUCAUUUUCAGUACAUGCUCUUGUACCUGCAUGAAGCAACUGUAGAACUACAGAGGACUUUCACUUGAAUUUGGUCCCUAGCUUAAGCCAAACAAAAAGACUUCUCUUCACAAGCUGCAGAAAUAGUUAAAGGGUAAGAAAUUUCAUGUCGGUCAUCAGUAUCAGAAAGUACUGCUGUGAAUGGUUUUGAUUUAUUUUAGUCUAUCAAGCUGAAUGUUAAUUUUCAUGCUAGAAAGAUGUCUUUUCUUCCUUGAUUUAUUAAAUAAAAAUAGGUAAAAAAAAAAAAAAAAGAUUCUUUUAAAGAUACUCUUAAAUGUAUCUACUAUGAUUUAAAUUAAGCAUUAGCUUUUAUCUCUAAAAUGAAGAGCUCGGUUUACUUCUCUUAGUGACUUCGGUUUUAGAAGAAAAAAUUGUGUCCAUGUUCAGUUAUAUGUUCGAAAAACACUUAGUUACAGUCAGUUACAUAUACAUCUCCAAAUACCAGUAAAAUUUCCUCCACUUGUCUGUGUGUGUGUGUGUCUGUGUGUGCAGAUAAAGAUAGAUCGUCAAGCUCUUACCAUCUAGACACUCUUCUAUGUAUUAGGAAGGGAUACGUUGUGAAGUAGGGCAUAAGCUUAUAAUCUAAGGUCAUAGAUUUGGAACUGCCUUGGAAGUGGUGUGUGAUGCUCAGCAAGACUGCUUUUCUUAACCUUUAUUGUUUGUGAAAUUCAGAAAUGUGCUUCCUGCUCGUACUAGUAAAAAUAACUUGUCUUAUUUUCAAAAUGGAACACGUGUAAAAAACAGCAUGAAAUAUUUUUUUCUACUAAGGAAAGUUUGCCUUGCUUUCUUAAAAAUGAACCCACUAAUCCCUUCUAGAUAUUCAGCAUGAAUGUCAUUUAGCACAGUCUGAGAGCAGAUAAAUAAUCCCAUUCUUCUCUGUUCUCAUUUUCUUAUAUUUCACUGUAUGAAUAAAACCACUUCGUACACUGCUAUGAAAGAGACAAUAUUUAGAAGCCAUAGAGAAGACUAUCAAUUCAUGAAACUGAAUUCUGUAAAGAAAUUCACUCUGAAACAAAAGUAUAUUUUAAAUGUUUUUCAUUUUGAAUAAACUAUACUUCUGUAAAGAUGAAUUUGUUAAAUCAAAAAUUUCUCAAAAUUGUGAUAAAAGAGAAAAAACUUGAAAAAAAACCCAAAAAACUAAACCUCUUCAAUGUCCCCAUUCUCCUCCACAUAAAUCUUCUGUUUAAUAUCAAGUAUCUAAACAUAAACCUAAUUUAAACCCUUUUAAAAUAGUAUUUUCUACUGUGAUUUCUGUAUUAUUAUUAUGUGUUAUAUUUACCUGUAGAUCUUUAACUGAUCUAGAUGAUUUUGAACUUUCUACUGCUGACUAUAUUUAUUCUUUUACAUAUGAAAAUGACUUUACAUAGUACACCAUUUUAUGAAUAUGACUGUAUUUAUUUCUUCUAGUAGGCCGAUAGUCUUUAAGCCUUUUAUUGUUAUUUAUUUUAAAAUGGGUAUUCUGAUGAAUUAUGAGCAUGUGCUGAAACACUAUCUGUAGCUCAAGUUGGAAUACAGCUUUUUGUUCUGUGUACUUUACAGCACUUAAAUCUUUCUCCUUCCCGGACUCUCUGUAUUUUUUUUCAUUUUUAAAAGCCUUCUGUUUAUUGCUUCCACUAAUCUUUAGAUCUCUACUUAACCUCAUUGCCCACUGUUGCCCUUUUCUACAUUUAGAUUUAACCAGCAUGUCAAUUACAGUCUCUCCAGAAAAUUUCUGAAGCAUUUUCCAUUUUUAAUUUUAAAAACCCACCUUUUAAAAUGGUACUUGAACAAUAUCACAGCUUUCUUCAAGUACUGUGUUCAGAGAACUCUGUGUUCUUCCUGGUCCUUAGAAAACGUCAGUAGAAUUGGAGAAAAGAUGGAAUGUAAAGAUAUAUGUAUAUAUAUUUAUAUAAAAAAUAUAUAUGUAUAUAUAUUUAAAUAUCCAAAAAACCUCGUGAAAUUCAUUGAAUGUACUCGCUAUUGAUACAGUCUUGAGAGAAAGCCAAGUCACAAGUGUUAAAGGGUCUAAGUCUUACACACAAAAACUGAAGCACCUGUGAGAAGUCUGAGAGAAAUCAAGAAUGGUGUAACAGGUGUAUCUGAGAAGAUAAAAUAAAAUACAGAUGACUCCUUAAGUUCUAGAGCAGGGCUAAUAAUACCCAUCUUCCAAAGGUCACUCACUGCUGGAGUUACUGUUUUUUAUUGUUCUAAAUUAUCAUAUUCUUGGCAGUUUUUAAUGCUAUCAGCAAAUUCAUUUCUCACUUUAAUUUUAUUGUCUACAUUUAGAUAAGAUUUUCAUUUUUACCAUUUGAGAAGGUAGAAUGCAGAAACCCAUUGUAUUUUGCUGGAUUCUUUAAAGAUGAGUUCAUAAAUAUUGAAAUAACAUUCUAGACUGUCUUUUGUUUGAAGAUUUUCCAUACAUUUUUUUUCAGUUAUAAAAACAAGUUUUUCUGAAUUUGUCUUGACAAUUUUAUAAGAUUGUGUAUCAUCUAAUUGUGGCUCAGCCUUGUCCACCUUCAGUUCUAUAAGAGAGAAAUUGACAUCUUGGAGUUGUAGAGUUUUACUGCCCAUGUUCAAUUAUUUCUGUCACUUGGAUCACAAUGUGUAACUCUAAAUAAUGCCUUUCUUUCUUUAGUUAUCUUCUUUACCUUUCUAGCAGGUAUGACAAAACCACACCCUUUAUAAAUCAUAAAUAAUUUACUUCUUAUAGCAUGAAUUUUUCUUAGUUGCUACAAAUGAAAAAUAUUUUUGGUACAGGCAAUUAAUGUUCUGAUGGUGCCAGAAUAGGUGCUGGAAUUUAUUUGUUAAUGGCACUAAUUUUGUAUGUUAAAAAUAAUAUGGUUCUCAGCUCUCUGAAUGUGAGAACUUCUCAAAAGGUCAAAUCUGUGUGGUUCAACUAAAAAGAGAGGUGGAAAUUAACUUUGGAACAGGAGGACAUAGUUUAGUUCAUUGGGAGCCAAUUAGUUCUCUUCCAGAAUACAGAAAGAGUAUUGUAAGCAAAUGGUACUAUAGCUGCAUUUGAGUAAAGACACAUGGAGCUGCAUUACCCAACUCAAUUUUUAUGUUUUAAACAACCAUUUCCAUUACCCCUGUGAAACAUCACACAUGGAAGUCUCUUGAGGCUCUGUGUUUCAUUGGUGACUUUCUAGCCUACUUCCCUCAGCCUGCCUCAUUUUUUAAUUUGCACAGUACACUUGAGUUCUUUGGUUAGACAGUCAAAGAAAAGAUCUGUCAGAGGGAUUAGUAAGAAGACUUAAGGUUGUCUCAAGCAAGCUUAUGGUAAAAGGAUUUAAACAUACCAAGCAUUAGUGAAAGUGGUUGGCUAAAGAGGUGCAAACUUUCUACCUGUAGCCUGCUUUUCUGCAAGUCCCCAGUCAGUGAGCAGUUAUUCACCAGCCAUCUACAAAAUACACAGAGGUGUUCAUAUUCUUAAUGAUGUAGUCUAAAACAGUGCAAGGAGCAAAAACAAUAGAAGCAGAAAGAAAGAAUAUCUCAUACCGUCUUCCCCUACUACGGUACAUACUAUAUAAUAAAAAUGUGUCAUGGUUUUAUGAUUUCUGUUAUUGGUAUUCCACAUCAUAACAUCAUGUAGUGCACUUGGUGUUAAAGAGUUAAUGCUCCAGUUGCAUGGAUUGUCAGUAUUUUUGGGUACCUGGUUCUCACAAGAGAAGAACUACAUAAACCAGCAGACUUUUAUUGUUACAUUUCCUGUUUCCAUUUUCCAUUUAGAGGGAAAGAUAAAACUCCCUAGUCAUGAGAUUGGUUCCUUCUUUUACUGCUUGCCCCUGCAGUGUAUUCUUCCUAGCCAUCUCACCUUCAGUGCUAGAGUAAAGUCUUCAGUUUUGGACACUUUCUCAUUUAUUUGAUUUAUUAGCUUCAAUUCCAAUUAUAUUAGAUUACAUUGUGUUAUCUCACAUUCCACUGGCAUAUUUAGUGAAUUAGUUUUCUCCCUUAGCUUGUUGCCACUGUUUCGUUUUGUUUUUAGGCCCUCCUCUCUACCUUUUUCCCCUUUUUCUCUUCCCCCUAUCCUGGGGCAUGGGUCAGUGGGUCCCUCCACUGCACUAGUCAUGGAACUGGGCCAAACUGGCCCCAAACCCAUGCCAAAGUGUGAGAUUUGCAGCUUAGGGAGUCCUACUUCUGGGAAGCUUUAGUUCUGAAGUACCUUGAUCCUGCAGGUGCUUUUGCAUCCUGUCACCCACAGUCUUGCUUACUCUGAAUACAUGCUAUUGCAUACUCUAAGGCACUCUGAAGCUAAGCUUAUACAAUAUGUUUAUAAUCACAUAUUCAUUUCUAAAUGCAUUUUGAUUUCUACUCACUUCAUUGAUGUUUUACAAUAUUGAAUAAUUAUGACGAUUGGUUUUCAGUUAAAGAGCAAAAAUCUAGAGACUCAAAAUACUCAGGUGCAUGAUGAUUCUCCCAGAAAACAGCUACUCAUCUGUUUGGCUGGAGACUAUUCACAUUUUUACCAUGAAACACAUACUAUGAUAAAUAAAAUUGUAUCCUUGGAUAAUUUCUGUGUGUCAGCAAGCAGUUCUAGCCAGGGUGCCCAUGUAUGGUUUCUGACAUGGAAUGACAUGUGUUCACAACUGCCAGUCAUUCUAACUGAAAGAAGGGACAGUCUGCACACAGCAGGGUCAUGACAUCUAGCAGCCUGAGUAAACAAACUAGUGUUUCUCUCUCUCCUUCUUCCUCUUUCCAGACUGCUAAGGAGAAGUCAUAAACAUUUUACUUUUUUGGUUAUUUACUAGAACAAGAAGUCUCUGCUUUCCUUUUUUCAUCCAAGAUGGCACUAUGGAUAAUUUGUAAUUUAGAAGAUUUAGAACAUUUCACCUACUAAGUAUGAUAAAUACAAGCAACCAACAGAGGAAAAGUUACAUUUUAUUUCUUAUGGCAGAUUGUUGUAUUAUGCUUUGCUGAAAUAUAUACAAUUAAAUUGUCCAUCAACUAUUUUAUCAGCAACUCAUUAGAAGAAACUGUACAUUUAAAAUAGAGUAAUAAUGAACUUAGAUACAUUUUUUCAGCACAGCUGAGAGACUGCUUUCCAGUGCUGCCAUAUAAGGUAAUCAGGAAACACUGGACCCUGGUUCUGCUUAUUCAAGUGUAACCAAGAUUUGGAGUUUCCAAGUCCACUUUAAAAACCUUUAACUACUUAAAGCAUUGGAAUAAAGCUGACCACAAAGAUGGAAAAGAGAUGGAAGAGUGAGAAGAAGGAAAAAGAAGUUUUGAAGCAGAGACCAGAAAAAGAAAGACUGCGAAUGAUUUUGAAGCUCAUACAAGAUGUAGAAUGCCAAUCUCUUCUCUGUGUUCUAGAGGAGCUUUAAACAGCAAGCAAUAGAGUUGGCCAACUGAAGCACAUUAUUCAGCUGUGUUCUCUUUGGAGAUAACUGGUAAUUCUGAAAGGGAGAUGAGGGAGGAAGAAAGAAAGAAAGCUAUAACUUCUUGGUUUGUAAAUCUGCUGGUGAUAUAGUGAACUUAGAUUAAUUUCACAGCUCAAUCUUGAUAGUUAAAGUUGUGUUUUGUGUUUGAUCAUCCUAGGCCUGAGAACAUCCCUGUUAACCUUGUUGCAGCUCUCAACAAUGUAAAAAAAACUUCCUACCAAAUUAUAUUUUUAAUACACCUUAUGAUUUGGUAUAGAUAUGAAGGUAGAUGAAGAGGACAUAAAGAGAUACGUAGAAAAAGACCCAUAGUCCUUAAAAGGAGUUUUGCUCACUUCUGUAAAGGGACUGCAACAGUCCUUGUAGUAUUUUUUUUUGCAGGUGCUAUAAGAAUUACUCUGAAUGGCAGAAGAUGAACUUUGGCAGAAAAUACAGCGGAAACUUCAGCAGCUUAGGCAUGGUUAUAUACAGGUCUCAAUUGCUUUUAACUGAAGUCUUGUUUUGUUGUCUACAAAGGUUGUCUUGCUUUCAGAAAAGUAUGAGCUAUGUUUCAAUGAGACAGAAUUCUGAAAAAAAAAAAAAAAGUUUGAUGUUAUUUACAUUCACUGUAACUAAUCUGAAUCACUGAUUCUGGUUGGGACUGACAUCCCUGUCUAAGUCCCAAACCUAGUAUGAUUUUGUAUGUAGAGCCAGUUUAAAGUCACAGGCUCAGCUAGGUCUAGCUAGAACUGAUGAAGGAUAGAAGAUACAGAUUAAACAUUUUUCUCUAUUGUGAGACUAUAAAUAAAAAAUUGAAUGUGACCUUAUAACCAAAUGAUUUAUUCAUUGCUAUAUUAUUGAUAUCAAUGUGAAAUGUGUUGCUUUGCUGAGAAAGGGAAGGAUUUUGUGAGGAUACUGAAUGGUUGUUUUUUUUUUAGUGUCCUUAAAGUACAAACUGAUGGGGUCUGCUUCCUCUGUAGAAAUGGUAGUUUUCACUCAAAAGAAUAAAUGCUGUCACUUUAUGCUUCACAACUCUAGAAUGUUUCAGUUGUAGUGAAAACCCAGGAGUUUCUUGGCUUUUUGCUUUUAGUGGAGGACACAUUACUCUGUGAGAGACUUUACUUGGACAAAAUAACAUAGAAAAUGUUAACUUAGAAAAUAGACCAAAUAAUCUGCCACAGCUGUAGUUGUUUUUGUUUUGUUUUGUUUUUUACAAAUCAGCAAUGAACAAUUUGAUCUAAUUCAGAAAUAAUCAAAGGCUGCAUAAAUAUUUGGCUGCUACAAGUUUAAAAUAGUACCACGAUAAAAUUUCACGUACACAUGUCUUCUAAGAACAUAUUUCUUGUAAAUUUCACUGCACUGAAUAAUAACUUGAAUUAUUUUUAUCAGUACAAAAGUAAGUCUCCCUACACUACUCUAUUUUUUAUUAACAAUCACUUUUUAAUCUGUAUAUACUAUAUACAGCUAGUAGCUCUUUCAUUUUUGUACUUUCAAUCUGCUUCACAGGGUAUUAAUUAUGCACAAGUUGGCUACAUCUCUUCUGUCAUACCGAACAGCCACAUCUGCAUUUAAUCAUUCAUUAUAUGCUGUAAUCUACCACCUAACUUCCAGUCACUUUUACUAUCUAAAAGCAAGUAGGAGGUACUUAAGAAUCUAUCCCUGAAUAUCUAAUUGCAUACUUAACUGAUUAGUUUUAUAUGACAGUCUCUUAUAAACAUGCUAAUAAGUUGAAGACUCUUAAUUUGUAUCUACAUGCUACUGAUUUCUGUAUGAUUAUACAUAAUGAACUCAUCAUGAUCACACUUAGUGCUGCUCUUCUGAGAAUCAUGAAAAUAAAUGCAGAGUUUGGAGAGAAGGAUGUAGACAAAGGCAGAAAUGAUCAGUAAUAUGUUGCUUUGUAAGAGAUUUGAUGAGAAACUUCAUUCAGGUUUGCUUUGAGAAAUGGCUUAUUCCAAAUAGUUCAAGAGGAAAUAAAAGGACCAUGAAAACCUGGACAAUGAGGUAAACAAAAGUGAAAAGAAUUCACACAGAUGCUGUUUUACACCUAGCUCAACUAAUAACACCCAUCAUGCUCAGAGAUACAGGAAAAAGUGAAUCCAUGCCAAAUAAACCACCUCAGGUGUCAGUACUGGUGACUUCUAGUUACUUCCAAGCAUCUCAGUUAUUCACAGAACAGAGGCAAUGGGAGAGGUCCAAAGGAACUCUGUAUUGCCAUGUCACUGCUUUUCUGAGUAUUUCAAUACCUCCAUUAAAGUAAUGCCAUUACUAUGACCAAUUCACAAGCUUGAUUGAAAUUUCUUUAACAAUGUACAAUGUUGCAGACAGGAUGAGGUUAUCCAUUCCACCUCUGCUUUUUCUAGGGCAAUAGCUGAGAAAGGGAGUUUUAAAGGUAAACAGAAAUCUGAGGUAAUUCCUAAAGAAAAUGAACACUUACUAACUUUAAAGUAGUUAUUGUUAUACAAAGUGAGUUUUUGGGGUUAGCACAAAAGAAGAACAGCAUUUAAGGUCAAUAAAGGUGCAAUACUUUCCAUUGUUCACUGCAUUUCUACAUAAGUCUUAGAAACAGCACAAUCUGUAGCUCUCUUAUACAUAUAGGUAGCCUCUGGAGCUAUAUCACGGUUGUCCGUGAUUUUUCACUUGUUAUUAAAGGGCAUGAAUUCUUCCAAAGGGCAAGGCUAGUGCAUUUACUCAGACACCUACGCAAAUUGUCCCAGGAUCCUAAUUUGAUGUACCUCAGUGGAAAGUGAUUAGGGUCAGAGGACUUAAGCUGUAUUCUAACACAUAUUAGAUUUAAAUAAUCCUGUCUCAUCUCUUCUGGCUCCUAACCAGUUUAUUUUAACACUAAGUGAGUUUGUUUGUAAAGUCUAAAUGAAUUUUAACAGCUUCUAGUGACAUUUUACUAGAAAACAGAAAAACUGUAGCAAUUCAGGUUCCAAAGUGUAUCAGCGUUCAAUUUUUGAGGGUUUCUCAGUAGACUGAACUUUCCAGAGAUCCUUAUCAUUCAUAUAAAAUAGAUUGGGAUAAUAUCCUCAGAGUUAAUCUAUUUAAAAUGAAUAGUGAUCUUAGAUCCUUUCGGCAUUGGAUUUGUUAAGAAGAAAGUGAUAUUACUGCAGAGUUAGUCCCACUUCCAAGGCCAUGCAAUGGCUUUUCUCAAGCAAUUAAGAAGCUGUACAACUUCUACCUUUAAGAUAACUGUGGAAGAUAUAAUCUUUUAAGAUUAGACUACUCUACUGAUAGAAUUUAUCUUCUUUUCUCUCAUUAAAUAUUUUAAGAUUCUAAUUAACAGACCCUAUUCAAGAAUUUCUGAGAUGAAUGAAGGCAUAUUCAUAUUUUCUGAGAGCACUUUAUUCAGUCUUAUUUUAAAAGCCUAAAUUACAUAUAAGGUAUAUAUGUGUUUUUAAAUACAUUAGUCAGAAGGAAAUGAGUAAUAAUGCUGCACUGUAUUGUGCUGAUCUGUCCAGGCAUAGAAGAGGAUAAGUUGCUAUAUUUAUU